UGUUAAUGUUAGCUAAAAGGAAGUGGCUAAUCUGCUCUAGUUUACAGGAGCUACAGUCUUUCCUCUCUGCCUUUUUUGAAUUAAAAGGUUUACCAGAGGAAGAGCCGCCAUGUUGGAUUCACUUCCGAGGUUGUCAAAGUCCUGAAGCAUCCCAGACCAUCUUUCUACCACCACCAUGUUUAACAGAAGAAAUCAUCUCACUGUUGAUACGUCUCGUCUUGUCGAUGUUCUGGAUGCUGACUUCACCACAGCUGUUCGCCGCCUGGAUCUACGGAAAAAGGGAGAGUGUGGCUCUGAGAUCUGGUGGGAGGCGAGUCAUUGCAGGAAGAUAACGGCGUGGAAGUGAGCGAGAGCGGAGGCAGCCAUCUGGAGAAGGAGUGAAAUAACAUUACACACACCUGAGAUGCAGGAAGCUGCAGCCAGGAAGCAACUCCAUCCCAGAUGUUGACGCUGUCCAAAGGACAAAAAGUUCAGGUGAAAUGUGCAGGACGGCUUUACCUGAAAGUGAAUCCAGCAGCAAAGAGUCGCAAGCUGUUCUGGACUGAAGUGACAAGUGAUGCUGUGGGAGGAAGGUUAAGACUCCUAAAGCUGCUGUUUCCCUACAGAUUUGGGGGAUAUGUUUUGGUUUUAUGGGAUGUAGACAGGAAAUCCUGGGUGAGGAAGAAGA